UGAGGAAUAUUGGUCAAUGGUCGGGAGACUGAACCAGCCAUGCCGCGUGAAGGUCACGGCCCUAUGGGUCUUAAACUUCUUUUGCAAGGGAGCAAUAAGUCUCACGUGUGGGAUGAUGAGAGUACCUUGCGAAUAAGCAUCGGCUAACUCCGUGCCAGCAGCCGCGGUAAUACGGGGGAUGCGAGCGUUAUCCGGAUUUAUUGGGUUUAAAGGGUGCGUAGGCGGUAUAUUAAGUCAGCGGUGAAAUUUAGGGGCUCAACCUCUACCGUGCCGUUGAUACUGGUAUGCUGGAAUGCGGAUGCCGUGGGAGGAAUGUGUGGUGUAGCGGUGAAAUGCAUAGAUAUCACACAGAACACCGAUUGCGAAGGCAUCUCACGAAUCCGCUAUUGACGCUGAUGCACGAAAGCGUGGGGAUCAAACAGG
rnacentral:rRNA from 2 species